rnacentral:rRNA from 1 species
UACGUAGGGGGCAAGCGUUGUCCGGAGUUACUGGGCGUAAAGCGCACGCAGGCGGUCUGCUAAGUUUGGAGCGACAGUUGGUGGCUCAACUACCAAAGUGCUUUGAAAACUGACAGACUUGAGGGCUUCAGAGGGACACGGAAUUCCGGGUGGAGUGGUGAAAUGCGUAGAGAUCCGGAGGAACACCAAAGGCGAAGGCAGUGUCCUGGGGAGUACCUGACGCUCAGGUGCGAAAGCCAGGGGAGCAAACGGG